ACAGAUGUGAGCCACCACACCCGGCCUACUCUGUUAAUUUAAACAACUAUUAAAUGAGACAAUACACUGCAAAGCACUUAGAAAAGUGCCUGACACAGGAAUAAGUUUUCUUUUUUCUUUUUUUAUUUUAUUUAUUUUUUUAUUAUACUUUAAGUUUUCAAUAAAUGCGAAUGUUUGUUAUUACAUAAAUUUAAAAAAAAAAAAUAGCCACCUGGCUCCAUUCUUGGCCACAAACUCUGAAGAGGUGGAGUUAAAGUGUGUGAGGUAUGUCGGAUAACCUCCCAUGCAAGUCACUACCACAGCUGACAUCCCGGAGCCAGAGAACUUGAUGAAUGUCUUCAAUGGUCACAGCUGAAAAGGGAACUAACUCCAGGUCCCCAGGCUGACUUGCCCUCCGAGCCUGGAGGGCAAACUCUGCUAAUUAACUCUCUUUGCUUGGGUUCGCCUCUGUCAUCUUCACCCCUGUGCCAACAGGCUAUCUCCACAGAUAGCCUGCUCUCGUGUGCCCUCUACUGGAGGGCUGUGGUUCCAGAGUUGCUCCAGCCUCGGACUCGGCUCCCCGCAGACGGAAUGUCCUCCUCCAGGGAGAGGCUCGAGUCAAGUGCUAAUGUGUUGUCAACCUCUGACUCCAGAGAAGCGGAUUAUAUGAUUUAAUGAUAGUUCCGCAUCAGAAAAGAUUUUGAAACGUGUAGCUCAAAACAGUAAAAUUUCACAGUGAUUAUCUGAAACUGAAGUAGUCCAAACCGCUGACGGUGUAACCUGAGCAACUUGUUUUAACUCCUCUGAGGCUGUUUCCUCAUCUGUACGGUGGGAAUAGCAGUACUUACCUAACCAGGCUGAGGAUUAAAUGAAUUAGUAUCUGUAAAGUGCUUAGAAUGGUACAUAGCACAGAGCAGUGUUCUUAAAUAUUUCUUGAAAAAAUUAAUAAAGGAGAAGCCUACCUUAAACCUUCAGAGAAAAUCUGAAGUCGAAAUUUUUAAAAGCUAAAUUUUAGAAUCAAUUGCAUUUUAAAGUCAUCAUGAAACAUGAGGUUGCUGCUACACAGUCACUUGUGCUGGAUUAUAUAACAGGUGAAAACUUAUUCUCUUGGGAAUUUCCAGAACUCUGUGGCACAGCCAAAAUACACCGACCUUGAAUACAUUGUUCUGGAACAAAGUGGAUGUACUGAACACUGAAUUGAUGUUACUACUUCGUACCAAGCACACAGCACUGAAUGCUCUCACGCUCAAUUAUCUGACAGUGAUGCUAGUAAGAAUAAAACAUAAUUUUUAAUCUUAUUUAAAAUGUAUUAUGCACUCCCAGAGUACUUACAAGAAACUACUCUUCUGCUUUUCAUGGAUAUCUAUUCAUAAGAAGAAAGACAGCUGGUUUUGGGGCUGGUGGUGGGUUUUUCCAUUGUUUUCAAAAGACAGAGAGCUAUGCAUAUGCUGACUUCCAAAGAGGCUAUCAUCAGUCACCGGAAAUCCACAGAAAAGGUCACUGCCAGAGAUCUGCCAUGUGUGAUCCACCCACUCUCACUUCAAGGCCACUAGCACCACUACCAGGCUGACACAAGGCCCCUGGGAAGGUGGCCCAGUGCAGGACAGACACAAAAGGGACCACAGUCAAGGAGCAGCCUUACUUUCUCACCUCACCCAAGAUAGAGAGCUAUGGGCCAAGGGAGGGGAAAUCAGGAUAUGGCCACCCAGGCCAGGGCUGCCCCCACUCCUCAACCCUGCUCCCCUGGAGAAAGACCGUACUCUUAUCAAGGGCCCUGUGGGUGACAAAGAGCUAGAGAGCCACUGUGACCACUGGGUUUCUGCACCAUUUGGCUAAUGAAAACCAUGACCCUCUCUGGGUCUCAGUCUUCUCAUCUGUGAAGUGGAAGGAUAGGCAAAAUGACAUGAAUAACAGAAUGAGUGACUAUAACCCAAGCCCACAGCUUAGUGUCAAGGAUUGUGAGAACGAAGCAAAAGGCAUCAAGCACUCUGAAUUGUUCAAAUAAUGAAGAUGAUGCCCACAAAGACAGAUAGAACAUGCCUCAAAGCUUCUCAGUUUUCCUACGACUAAGAUAACCAGUCACCAUGUGGCAUGACUCCGAGGACCACGUACAGGCUUUGCAUCUUCUGUGAAGGCUUCAGUUGCCCUUGGGGAUACAUCGCCGUUCUGUCCACCAACACUCUCUCAUGUUCUCAGGACAUAAUUACCUAUUUCUGUUCUAUCCUCACCCCCUAAAAGAUUAGUCUAGAACCUGUUCUUAUUAAGCUCUGCAUUGUCAUUGCUGAACACUCUGUCAUGCAGUAGGUGCUCAAUAAAUAUCUAACCCCCGUACACACAUCAAAAACAAAAGAGCAUCUAUGGGUCUUUAUACUGUAAGGUUUUACUUUCUUCUCCCCUACUUCCCUACUAUUGGUCCCUCCAUCUAGACCUUACGAUCUGCAGUGGUCUACAUUUGGGACCCUUACAGUAAACGUGUGCCACUUCUCUGAAAAGUCAUGCAGCUGCUCCCAGCUCCGUCUCUGCAUGACCAGGCAAGUGAGUGCAGACCUCAUCUUACAUCUGUGUGGUUCUCUUUUCUGCAGGCUGAAAUGCUGCUCUCCCCAUCAACUGUGAGGAUGCACUUGCUGCCCUCUUGCCCACCAAGGUAUGGGGCCUGGAGAGCUACGUUUGUGUCUGCUCUGACUUUGGACAGCCCCCACAGGGGUCAUUCCCCGGCAGCUCAUUCCAUCACUGAGAUGUGCUGAGAUCCCAGAGCCGCCUGCACCCUUGAGGUUCCUCUUCGGUCAUCAUUCCUUGCUUGGACUUCUUUAGACGUCUAGAGACUUCCGAGGUCGGUGAGCAGACUGUGUCCUUAACCAGCAUUUUGUUUCUCAGGGCCUCCCCGGGCCCCUCACCACCUCCCUCUCAGACUCCCAAACCCUGGAACUGAAUUCAAGGCAACCUUCUUCCCUCUUUGAAAGGUUUAACAAACAGCGUCUCAACUUUAACCUUGGCAAGUACAUUAACCAAGUUCCAGGUCACAUGAAUUAACGGAUGGCCCACUUAAAACAAACCACACUGAGUAGCUACGAGGAAUGUCUCCACUGCGGCAAGUGCAAAAUCCAAGUGAAGGCCCUGAUCAGCAAAUUGAGCGUGCUUCAGGACACCCGCCCCUCCUGCCUGGCCCCCUGCCGCUGCAGCAACACAUGUGAACUGACACGGUAUCUGAGCACACCCCGGGAAACAGACCGCAGCCCUCCCUGGCGCCCAGUGAUUACAGGCCAAGGCUGAAAGCAGCAACAAGAACCAAGAAACAAAGCCUUCUGUGAAACCAGAAACCACACAAGGUCACAAAAACAGCAAGAACUUGUAAAUCCUGAAAACCCUUCAGUGAGGAAUUUUCCUAAGCACCUGUGUCCAGCUCUGAAACAACAGUGGCUUGACACAUACCUGAGACGAUGAGAGCACAAAUCCAGCCGCCCCUCCGGAAAGACCAUUCAAGGUCACGGGCGUUUUAAGAUGUGGUUCUCUUUUGGGCUUAUCUGUGGAAAAACAUCCAAGGCACAGACCAAACAGCUGCUUUGAAAACACACUCAAGACAGACCACAUCCUUGCACACCGCUGUGGCCUCAGGACUCUGGGACUAAGGCAGGUUAUUAUUAACCUCCAAGUCAGACAACCUCCAGUGGAGCCAGGACUCAAACCUGGGACUGCCCAGCUGGAGAAGGAGUCUGGUUCCAGGUUCCUGAGCUACGUAACUAGCUGGCUUCCCCCCGGAUCACAAGAUGUCGUCAGACACCUACUGGAGCUAUGUGGAUCCUUAUUCACACUCAGAGAGAGCACUGCUUCCCAGAGCCACCAAACCACAGUUCUGAGCAGCGUUCUAAGGGACCAACCUGAACUGUGGCCAGGAAAUGCCUCCCUGCUGAUUACAGUGUGGGGAAAAUGGCAGCCACUCUGAGCCUCGAGGUUUACACAGCCCCCAACACUCUCUGGAUGGGACUGUACAUGCAGCACGGGGGUCAUCUGAGCCACCAGCUACUCAUCUUGUAUAGAAACAAAACAAAAAAGAACUGAGUACAGUAACCAAGGAAGAAAAUCAUAAAAGUUCACACGCUGGAAACAACUUUCUAAUUCUCUUAUCUAUACUUGGCCACAGAUGAGCUAAGAAUCAUCACCAGUAGUUAACUCAAGAGAGGCAUGCAAAUAUGUGGUAAGAUGCUAUAAUUUUGAGGUUAGAAAAUAAAUCCAUGUAUUUAUAACUUAAAUAGUGAUUUGAAUCAAGGAGUAUUAAUGGCUGUACCCUUAGAAAAAGAAUGAUUCUAACCACUUACCCUUCAGCACCCAACCCCUAUCAAAAGCAAACAUAUUCUGUGAUAACAAACAUCGUAAUAUCAUCUUUAUUUGUCUGCCCUGGAAAAAACACCAAAUCAUGACUGGUGUUCCUGUUAUUGAUUCCUCCCCAACAAGGAAAAAAAAAAAGUGACCUUUUGGCUGGGCACAGUGGCUAGUGCCUAUAAUCUCACCUCUUCAAAAGUAAAAAAAAGUUAAAAAAAAAAAUUAGCUGGGCGUGGUGGUGUACAUAUACAGUUCUA
rnacentral:lncRNA from 1 species